rnacentral:rRNA from 1 species
AGUGAACGCUGGCGGUAGGCCUAACACAUGCAAGUCGAACGGCAGCACAGUAAGAGCUUGCUCUUACGGGUGGCGAGUGGCGGACGGGUGAGGAAUACAUCGGAAUCUACUUUUUCGUGGGGGAUAACGUAGGGAAACUUACGCUAAUACCGCAUACGACCUUCGGGUGAAAGCAGGGGAUCUUCGGACCUUGCGCGUUUGAAUGAGCCGAUGUCGGAUUAGCUAGUUGGCGGGGUAAAGGCCCACCAAGGCGACGAUCCGUAGCUGGUCUGAGAGGAUGAUCAGCCACACUGGAACUGAGACACGGUCCAGACUCCUACGGGAGGCAGCAGUGGGGAAUAUUGGACAAUGGGCGCAAGCCUGAUCCAGCCAUACCGCGUGGGUGAAGAAGGCCUUCGGGUUGUAAAGCCCUUUUGUUGGGAAAGAAAAGCAGCAGGUUAAUACCCCGCUGUUCUGACGGUACCCAAAGAAUAAGCACCGGCUAACUUCGUG